GUCAGUGUCUAUGAGAACAAAGGGGAUGGAUUUCAGAAACGUUUCUAAAUCAUAAAUGACUGAACCAGAAGAACUGAAGCUGAUGUCAGAUUUCUCGCUUGGGUGAUGAGGAACAAGGCAGGAAGAGCAGCAAUGAGGAUAGAGGUGGAAGGGCAGCUCAGGAAUUUCCCUGGAGUUUUCCCAUCUUGAGACUUCGGUCUUGGAAGACAGAAUGGCUGUGACAUAAUGUGGACUUUUUACUUCCACCUCUAGGAAAGCGUUCUUUGGAACACCUUUGCUGAGUCUCUCUCUCCUCCGCUCAAGGAGGAAGAAGGCAUUUUCACACAAGGCUGGCCAGAUGGGAAGAAUCUUCAGCUUCAGCUUCAGCUUGGCCUCAUUCAUUUGAAAAUAAAAUGUUUACAUGAGGCCGCGCCUGUGUCCAGCUGAAAGUGGGUCCUUCAGAGCGUGUGGGGGAUUCUCUGCCGGCUUGAUGGGCUAGCUCCUCUAAGCCGGCUGCUGGAGACAUCACCGGCUGAGGGACUCCUGCAAACGUUCAUACAUGAUUUGAUCCUGAAAGGAGGGAGAACACAGAAUACAGAGACCGUCACUGCUUGUUUUGGGCUGAAUGGUGCCCCCCAAAAUUCACAUGCUGCAGUCCGCACCCGCAGGACCUCAGAAUGUGAUUGUAACUGGAGAGAGGGUCUUUAUAGAGGAGACUGGAUUAAAAUGAGGUCAUACAGGUAGACUCUUAUCCAAUAUGACUGCUCUCCUUACAAAAAGAGGGGAUUAGGGCACAGGAGGGAAGAGCAUGUGCGCAGAGGGAAAAGCACAUGCAGGCGCUGGGAGAAGACAGCCAUCAGUGAGGACAAAGGCUCCAGAAGAACCAAUCCUGCCCAACACUCUCCAGAACUAGCCGGGAUUUCACCAUGUUGCCCUUGCUGGUCUUGAACUCCUGGACUCAAGCAAUCUGCCCACCUCGGCUGCCCAAACUGCUGGGAUUACAGGUAUGAACUACCGCGCCCAGCUUACCCCACUGAUUUCUCUAGAAAAAAAAAAAUUGGUGCUCCUUAUUAUCACUCCUUGGUAACAUAACACUAACAGAAUCAUAAUCCAUACUCAAAAAUAUAAGGAAGUAAUGGGUAAAAAACAUUUUUUCUACAUAAGCAAGACAAACUCAGAGUCAAUACAAGAAUGACUGAUAGAUUUUGCUGCAUUAAAGCCAUAAUAUUCUGGCCGGGCAUUGUGGCUCACACCUGUAAUCCCAGCACUUUGGGAGGCCGAGACAUGUGAAUCACCUGAGGUCAGGAGUGCAAGACCAGCCUGGCCAACAUGGCAAAACCCCAUCUCUACUAAAAAUACAAAAAAUUAGCUGGGCAUGGUGGUGGGAACCUGUAAUCCCAGCUGCACGGGAAGCUGAGGCAGAAGAAUUGCUUGAACCCGGGAGGC
rnacentral:lncRNA from 1 species